rnacentral:rRNA from 1 species
CUCCAUCGCAAUUUCGAAUGUUGGGAGAGAUAAAUCCUUUGUAGACGACUUAGAUAUGGAACGGGGUAUUGUAAGCGUGAGAGUAGGCUUUGUCCUACGAUCCGCUGAGAUUUAGCCUCUUGUU